rnacentral:rRNA from 1 species
UACGGAGGGGGCAAGCGUUGUUCGGAAUUACUGGGCGUAAAGGGCGCGUAGGCGGCCUUGCAAGUUGGGCGUGAAAGCCCUGGGCUUAACCCAGGAAUUGCGCUUGAGACUGCAUGGGCUUGAGUGCGGGAGAGGUGAGUGGAAUUCCCAGUGUAGAGGUGAAAUUCGUAGAAAUUGGGAAGAACACCAGUGGCGAAGGCGGCUCACUGGCCCGCAACUGACGCUGAGGCGCGAAAGCGUGGGGAGCAAACAGG